rnacentral:rRNA from 1 species
AGCAGUCGCCGCGGUAAUACGGAGGGAGCUAGCGUUGUUCGGAAUUACUGGGCGUAAAGCGCGCGUAGGCGGUUACUCAAGUCAGAGGUGAAAGCCCGGGGCUCAACCCCGGAACUGCCUUUGAAACUAGGUGACUAGAAUCUUGGAGAGGUCAGUGGAAUUCCGAGUGUAGAGGUGAAAUUCGUAGAUAUUCGGAAGAACACCAGUGGCGAAGGCGACUGACUGGACAAGUAUUGACGCUGAGGUGCGAAAGCGUGGGGAGCAAACAGGAUUAGAUACCCGGUAGUCCCUGUCUCUUAUACA